GAUGAACGCUGGAUGUGUGCCUAAUACAUGCAUGUCGUGCGAAGUACUUGUACUUAGCGGCGAAUGGGUGAGUAACACGUACCUAAUCUGCCCUCUAGACUGGGAUAACCCUUCGAAAGGAGGGCUAAUACUGGAUAAUACCUUUGAUCGAGUGGUUAGAGGUUGAAAGAUUUAUCACUAGAGGAUGGGUCUGCGUACCAUUAGCUUGUUGGUGGGGUAAUGGCCUACCAAGGCUCCGAUGGUUAGCGGGUCUGAGAGGAUGAUCCGCCACACUGGAACUGAGACACGGUCCAG
rnacentral:rRNA from 1 species